UACAGAGGUCCCAAGCGUUGUUCGGAUUCAUUGGGCGUAAAGGGUGCGUAGGCGGCGCGGUAAGUCGGGUGUGAAAUCUCGGAGCUUAACUCCGAAACUGCAUUCGAUACUGCCGUGCUUGAGGACUGGAGAGGAGACUGGAAUUUACGGUGUAGCGGUGAAAUGCGUAGAUAUCGGGAGGAACACCAGUGGCGAAGGCGGAACUCUGGGCCGGAACUGACGCUGAGGAGCGAAAGCGUGGGGAGCGAACAGG
rnacentral:rRNA from 1 species